rnacentral:rRNA from 1 species
AUUGAACGCUGGCGGCAGGCCUAACACAUGCAAGUCGAACGGUAACAGGAAGAAGCUUGCUUCUUUGCUGACGAGUGGCGGACGGGUGAGUAAUGUCUGGGAAACUGCCUGAUGGAGGGGGAUAACUACUGGAAACGGUAGCUAAUACCGCAUAACGUCGCAAGACCAAAGAGGGGGACCUUCGGGCCUCUUGCCAUCGGAUGUACCCAGAUGGGAUUAGCUAGUAGGUGGGGUAACGGCUCACCUAGGCGACGAUCCCUAGCUGGUCUGAGAGGAUGACCAGCCACACUGGAACUGAGACACGGUCCAGACUCCUACGGGAGGCAGCAGUGGGGAAUAUUGCACAAUGGGCGCAAGCCUGAUGCAGCCAUGCCGCGUGUAUGAAGAAGGCCUUCGGGUUGUAAAGUACUUUCAGCGGGGAGGAAGGGAGUAAAGUUAAUACCUUUACUCAUUGACGUUACCCGCAGAAGAAGCACCGGCUAACUCCGUG